rnacentral:ncRNA from 1 species
UGUGGGAGAGACCGUCCACGAGGAUGGCGCCGAAGGAGCAACCGACCCCGGAAACUCUCAGGCAAAUGGACCGCAGGGGG